AAAUGAAUUGACGGGGGCUCACACAAGCGGUGGAGCAUGUGGAUUAAUUCGAAGCAACGCGAAGAACCUUACCUGGGCUUGACAUGCACGGAUGCUCUUCCCGAAAGGGGAGUAGGCUGCCUUCGGGUGAAACGUGCACAGGUGCUGCAUGGCUGUCGUCAGCUCGUGCUGUGAAGUGUCGGGUUAAGUCCCUUAACGAGCGAAACCCCUGUCGCUAGUUACCAGCGGUUCGGCCGGGGACUCUAGCGAGACUGCCGGCGUUAAGCCGGAGGAAGGUGGGGACGACGUCAAGUCCUCAUGGCCUUUAUGUCCAGGGUGUCACACGUGCUACAAUGGGCGCUACAAAGCGAAGCGAGACCGCGAGGUGGAGCAAAUCGCAUAAAAGCGCCCCCAGUUCGGAUUGGAGUCUGCAACUCGACUCCAUGAAGUUGGAAUCGCUAGUAAUCGCGUAUCAGCCAUGACGCGGUGAAUGUGUUCCUGAGCCUUGUACACACCGCCCGU
rnacentral:rRNA from 1 species